UACAGAGGUCUCAAGCGUUGUUCGGAUUCAUUGGGCGUAAAGGGCGCGUAGGCGGUGCGGUAAGUCACCUGUGAAACCUCUAGGCUCAACCUAGAGCCUGCAGGCGAAACUGCCGUGCUUGAGGGUGGGAGAGGUGCGUGGAAUUCCCGGUGUAGCGGUGAAAUGCGUAGAUACUGGGAGGAACACCAGUGGCGAAGGCGGCUACCUGGACCGGUUCUGACGCUGAGGCGCGAAAGCGUGGGUAGCAAACAGG
rnacentral:rRNA from 1 species